rfam:Mus musculus chromosome X, GRC primary reference assembly.
AGCAGAGUGGCACAAUGGAAGCGUGCUGGUCCCAUAACCCAGAGGUCAAUGGAUUGAAACCAUCCUCUGCUU